ACGCAUACCGAGAACAGAGAGUAACUCAGACACAAUGGCCCAGAUUAAUGGUGUAGCUGUAACACUGGUGCUGCUUCUGACAGUCAGUCUGUUCUGUCAAGACACUGCUGCUUGGGCAUGUUGCAGGCGAUACUCCAAAGGUCAGCUCCCUGUUAGUUUAAUCCAAGGAUAUUCAAUCCAGACCAUUCAUGGACAAUGCAACAUCAAUGCUAUCAUUUUCCACACAUUUGGAGGCAGAAAAGUGUGUGUUGAUCCUACUAACUCCUGGGUGAGACACAGCAUCCAGCAACUCACGUAAG